rnacentral:lncRNA from 1 species
UUUGAAAGAAAUAAGAGGAAAGGCCUGCCCUGACUACUGCCUUCUCCAAGGAGACCCAGAGCCCCUGAAGCCUCCUCCAUCCCAAGCAGAAAACCAGAUGCUGCCAUGGAACCAACACCCAAGCACCAGGCCCAGAACAAGAAGCAGCAUGACCCAAGGGCUGGGCAGGGGCCAAGGCCAAGUGAGGGGACAAUAGGGAGCGGACCAGCAUCCAGCAUCCCUCGAGCUCCUUGAAGACUGAAGAUUCAGCUGUUUCCUGUAAAAUGUCACUCUUUUGUUCAUUUCCUCCUUGGAGACACAGCAAUCAAUUCUGCUUUACUUGACUUAAGGAUGAUAAUGAUCACUCGUGAAAUGAUCCUGGAGUACAAAAAGUUGUUAAAAAAGAGAUAACAGGCCCACAAUGGAGUCACUUGUGCUGAGCCCACAUCACCAAACUGAGACGUAAUACCUAACCUCAUGGCAGUUUCACCCUC